AAAACACUAGCGAACGCUGGCGGCAGGCUUAACACAUGCAAGUCGAACGGGCACUUCGGUGCUAGUGGCAGACGGGUGAGUAACGCGUGGGAACGUGCCUUUCGGUUCGGAAUAAUCCAGGGAAACUUGGACUAAUACCGGAUACGCCCUUCGGGGGAAAGAUUUAUCGCCGAAAGAUCGGCCCGCGUCUGAUUAGCUAGUUGGUGAGGUAAAGGCUCACCAAGGCGACGAUCAGUAGCUGGUCUGAGAGGAUGAUCAGCCACAUUGGGACUGAGACACGGCCCAA
rnacentral:rRNA from 1 species